CCUACGGGUGGCAGCAGUGAGGAAUAUUGGUCAAUGGGCGAGAGCCUGAACCAGCCAAGUAGCGUGAAGGAUGACUGCCCUACGGGUUGUAAACUUCUUUUAUAAAGGAAUAAAGUGAGGCACGUGUGCCUUUUUGUAUGUACUUUGUGAAUAAAGAUCGGCUCACUCCGUGCCAGCAACCGCGGGAAUACGGAGGAUCAGAGCGGUAUCCGUAUUGAUUGGGUUUAAAGGGAGCGUAGAUGGGUUGUUAAGUUAGUUGUGAAAGUUUGCGGCUCAACCGUAAAAUUGCAAUUGAAACUGGCAGUCUUGAGUACAGUUGAGGUAGGCGGAAUUCGUGGUGUAGCGGUGAAAUGCUUAGAUAUCACGAAGAACUCCGAUUGCGAAGGCAGCUUACUAAACUGCCACUGACAUUGAUGCUCGAAAGUGUGGGUAUCAAACAGGAUUAGAUACCCUUGUAGUC
rnacentral:rRNA from 1 species